rnacentral:lncRNA from 1 species
GUGUUAAAAGACAAUAGGAAAACAAAUACAUAACAUCUCGUUGGUCAACAGAAAGUAGCCUAUCACAUAGAAGGGUGAGGAUCAUGCUUUGUGUAACCACAUCCAUUGAUAAAAAUGAAUCCAACGGACCAAAAUGCACUAAGAUAAAAAAUACACUUUUUCUUCAUAUCUCUUUCUUUCUUUCUCUCCUCUGAUCUCUUCGUAUCCUCUAAUCUAUCUCUCAAUAUGUCUCCUUCGUGAAUCUAAACUUUCUCAACAACCACCACCAUCACCUCCGACAGAAUUAUCUCAAUUUCCACCCCCUCGUUCUCCACUACUCUACCUGAUUACUCUUUUUAUUUCUUAUAUCCUCAAAGUUUUUCCUUUCUUCAGAUGCAGAUUUAAAACAUGAAGAAGAUAGGAAACAGAUCGGGAGGGAGGAGUCAGAAGAAGCUUGACAGCAGAGGAGGUAGAAGAAUCGUGAUGGUGGGGGCAUAAGAAGCCUCACGGCGGAGAAGGCGUGGCAAGCAUAUGAGUUUGUCGCUCAGCCGUAACACCGGUGGCUCUACCACCAGACUGAGUCUUCGCUUGAGCCAUGGCAAUCGGAGCUGGUGGAGGUGGAGGUGUCGGUGUAAAAAGCUGAUGGAGUUGACGAAGUCUCAUGGAGGAGAGGAAACGGCUGGAUUCUUCUUUUCUUUUUUUAGGUUUAGCUUUUUUUUAUUCGGUUUAGUUUAAACCGAGUUGGAAUUGUGGUAGUUUGACUUUGGCUUUUAAUUUCUGGUUUAAUUUUGUAAACCAGAAUUUAUUUGUAAACCAAUCUUAAUUUAUAAAUAAAAUUU